UGAUUAUGCAAUAUGGCCCCGUGAGCUAUCACGGCACAUUUCUUUGUCAAUAGCUUUCUCAUGUAUAAUAAUAAUGGGAAAGAUACUGACAAAGA